rnacentral:tRNA from 1 species
GAGGUUAUGGCUCAGUGGUAGAGCACUUGCCUAGCAUGUGUGAAGCACUGGGUUCAAUUCUCAGUACCACA